rnacentral:lncRNA from 1 species
AAAAUAUGUCAUUACACCUUCUAAAAAUAUUUUGUCUAUAAUGUCCAUUUUUAUUGAAUAAUCCAUUGAAUUACUACAUCCUAACACUUUUUUAAUAUCUUCUUCCUAAAAGUGAAUCAAAUGUAUUUUUUCUAACUCGAUAAUUAAUUACAUUAGAAAUAGAGGUAUAAAAUAAUAUAAGUUCACAUACAGAGAGGAUCUAAAUUAUGGAAUAAAUUCAUUUUCUCUAAAAUGGACGACUUUAGAGAAAAAUCCCGAAAUAGGUCGAUUUUUAUUUUCAAAUUACAAUUUUUUGCCAUCUAUUUCAUACUAGUGACGUCAUCCAUCUGAGCGUGGUGACGUAAUCGAUGAUUUUUUUAAAUGGGAAUAGGGGUUAACCCCUAAUAAUAGGUUAACAUGUAAUUGUAAUUUAGAAAAUCUAAAAACAAUAAACACAAACACACGCUUUUUGUUUCCAGAUCAGUUUAUCAAAGAUCUAGAGAAACAUGUAAAAGAUGAAUUUGCCAAAUAGGAAUUUGGCAAAAAUCCUUUUGGAAGUUCACUCCAUGAAUACUGGCACUGUUGGGGGACACUACCAUUGAUUUGAAUGGAGAUGACGAGUUUCAGGAAAUUGUGUCACAAUUUCCUAUCACUAAUGUGGAUAUCCUCAAUGAUGUUAAUGAGUGGGGAGGGACCAGCAGUGUUAUAAAAAAGUAGUCCUAUUUUUGAAAACCAUUGGAGGGAUAACCCUGAAGGAUAUUAAAAAGGGUGUUCGCCAAUCAAUUAAUUGCCCAAGCCAGCUGGCUGGGGCACAGUUGUGGCGGAAAAAAAAUUGCAAGCUUAGCAACUUAAAAUUGAUUUCUGCCAUUAAAGAUGCUGUACAUACUGAUGAAUGGUAUUCUGAGAAAAAAUUUGAAACUAUUGCAGCGGAUUGGACCCGUCAAGGAAAACAGCGCCACCAAAGGGAGAGGCAGAAUAAAUAAAUGACUUAAUUUUUC